ACAACUCUCAGCAAUGGAUAUCUCAAUCUUGCAUCGAUGAAGAAUGUACUAAAAUGUGAUACAUAGUGUGAAUUGUAGAAUCCCAUGAACCAUUGAGUCUUUGAAUGCAAGAUGUGCUACAAGCCAUUAGGCCGAGGGCACGUCUGCUUGGGUGUCAAGAAUUGUCUCCCCCUCUAAACCAGCACCCAUUAGGCUUUAUAGUAAGGGGUUGAAAAUCGCCCCUCAUGAUCUCAUCAAUCAUGGUUGGCCCAAAAUCGAGUCCUUGGUAAUGAUAGCAUCAUGAUCGUUGGUGGUAAAGCUCUUGGCAUGCCUCAAUUGCGAUGACCCAUGCUCGUUGUCCAUCUAGAUCGUAUUAGACCCCUCGCAUCACUUGAUUGAUGCUAACAUCGUGACCCCAGGUCAAGUAGGAUUACUUGAUGAAUUUAAGCAUAUCAAUAUGUAGAGAAAAAGAAACUUACCUAGAUUUCCCUAGUAAUAACAAGUGAACCAGAAAGAGGCCAGCUUGAGAAUUAGGUGCCCAAAGCAUCUGAAUUGUAGUUUACAGAAGUGUCCUCAGUGGUGGACUAGGCCCAAGUCCCCAAGAAAGGGGAGCCAAAAAAGCUAAGAGCCCUAUUGUGCCUAGGCCCUAUCACACCAUGAGGCGCUAUCUGUGAGUCAGGUUGUUUGGGUAUAUAGCCCCAAUAGGGUAGUAAAUUCCAUCCAAGGUUGAAUAUGGGUGAGAAACUGAUAGAGAAUAAGUAUCACGAGGGAAAUAUGAAAAAGACUUUGAAAAGAGAGUCAAAGAGUUAUUGAAAUUAUCAAGAAAAAAGUGAAAUGGGGGCCAAUGAUGCAUCUUGGUUAAAUGUGAAACAACGAUAGUCAGUCCAUAGAUCAGCUAGGGCAUGGACCAUUUUAGGUCGUGACGGUGGCCCGAACCCAAGCUUUCAAUAUGCCUAUGGAGACAUCAUUACCACGAUUAUAAAAUAUAGCACAUACCAUCUUAACAUGCCUUAACACUCACGUGCUCCUAACAUAGGCCUACAGGUUCCUCAUCCGGCCCAUCUUGAAACAUAGACCAAAGAGUCUAACAUGUGUGUGAGUCAAUGGGGUAGAAAACCUAUAAAACACAAGGAAGCUGAUUCAUGGGAUCCUUCGCGAGUGAGCUACUGACUGACCUUGAUCUUCUGAUAAGGGUUCGAGCGUGAGCAUGCCUGUAAAGACUUAAAAGAUAAAAAACUAUGCCUAAGUGGGACAAGUUAGAGGAAACUAUGGUGGAGGCCCACAAUGAUACUAGCAUGUAAAUUGUUCAUCUAACUUGGGUAUAGGCAUGAAAGACUAAUCAAACUGUUUAAUAACUAGUUCCUUCUGAAGUUUUCCUUAGGAUAAUUGGAGCCCUUAGUGAAUUCCAUCAGGUAAAGCUAAUGAUUAGAGGCAUCAGGGCCACAACACCCUAGACCUAUUCUUAAACUUUAAAUAGGUUGGAUGGUGCAACUUCAUUAAGCCGUGCCAUGAAAUUGAGAGCUCCAAGUGGGCCAUUUUUGGUAAGUAGAACUAGCAAUACAGGAUGAACCAAAAGCCAAGUUAUGUUGCCUAACUUUGCACUAACCUAGAACCCACAAAGUGUGUUGGUCGAUUAAGAUAACAUAACAGUGGUCAUGGAAGUUGAAAUUUGGUAAAGAGUGUGCAACAACUCACCUACCAAAUCAACUAGCCUUGAAAAUGGAUGAUGCUUAAACACAUGACCUAUACUCAACUAUCAAGGUAAGGGCCAAGCCCCGAUGAGUAAGAAGGCACAUGGUCACUGCAAAACCUGAGGCAUGAGCUUGGGUGGAGCAGCUGUUAGUGUAGAUCUUGGCAUUAGUAGUAAAUAUUCAAAUGAAAACUUUGAAGGCUAAAGAAAGGAAAGGUUUCAUGUGAAUGGCACUUGCAUAUGGGUCAGUUGAUCCUAAGAAUGGGGGAAGAUAGUCUAAUAGUGCAUCUAACACAAGCUUUGAAAGGGAAUAUGGUUAAAAUUCUUGAACCGAGAUGCAGCGAUUGAUGGCAACGUUAGAGAAUCUAGAGACAUUGGUGGGGUCCUCGAAAAGAGUUCUCUUUUCUAUUUCAUGGCCUCUCCACUCUAAAAAUGACUCAACUGUAGGUAGGGUCCAGUAGCCAGAUGAGCAAUGUAUGUUGCUUGGUGUUUGGUACACCCCUGGUAACCCUUGAAAAUUUGGAGCACCGAAUGCCAUCCGUGUCCGAUCAUAUUCAUAACCACAUCAGGUCUCCAAGGUAAACAACCAUUGGUCAAUGGAACAAUGUAUGCAAGAGAAGUCGGCAAAAUGGAUUCGUAACCUUGGGAAAAGGAUUAGCUCUGAGGGUUGUGCAUGGGGGUCCUAUUUUUGAACCCAUCAGCUAUUAAUGCACUAUUGAGCUACUCCCAUGGCAAGAGCAAGUCACCUUGUGUCGGUUGAGAGCUUUCCCCAAACAAUGAAUAGUCAACUUUGAACUAGUAUGGACAAAGAGAAUUUGACUAUUUAAUUAAAACAAAACAUUGCGAUAGUCCCUACAGAUGCUCACACAACGUGAUUUUUCCCUAGUGCUUUGAAUGUCAAAGUGAAAAAAUUGAACCAAGCGUAGGUAAAUGGCAGGAGUAACUAUGACUCUCUUAAGGUAGCCAAAUGCCUUGUCAUCUAAUUAUUGAUGCACAUGAAAGGAUUAAUGAGAUUCCCACUAUCCUUGUCUACUAUCUAGCGAAACUACACCCAAGGGAAUGGGUUUGGCAGAAUCAACAAGGAAAGAAGACCUAAUUGAGCUUGACUCUUGUCUGACUUUGUGAAAUGACUUAAGAGGUGUAGGAUAAGUGAGAGCCUUUGGGUGAAAUUGAAAUACCACUACUUUUAAUGCUACUUUACUUAUUCUGUAAAUCAAAGGUAGGGCACAACCCUUUCUUUUAAACCCAAAGCUAGCCUCGAUUAAUCAAUUUAGGUGAAAGACAUUAUCAAGUAGGAAGUUUGGCUGGGGUGGCAUAUCUGUUAAAAGAUUAUGCAAGUGUCCUAAGAUGAGCUCAAUAAGAAUAGAAAUCUCAUGUAGAACAAAAGGGUAAAAGCUCAUUUGAUUUUGAUUUCUAGUACAAAUACAAACUAUGAAAGCAUGGCCACCAUCAGAAUUUAAAACUAGAGGUGUUAAAAACCACAUGGAUAAUUGGCUUAUGGCAGCCAAGCAUUCAUAGUGACUUUGCUUCUUGAUCCUUUAAUUUUAGCUUUUUCGAUCAUUAUGAAGCAAAAUUCACCAAGUGUUGGAUUGUCACUAGGUCCUGGGAACAUGAACUAGGUUUAGACUAUCAUGAGAUAGGUUAGAUUUACUUAUUGAUUGCAGUGUCGCAAUAAUAAUUCAACCUAGUAUGAAAACAAUCGUUGAUUCGCACAAUAGGUCAUCACACUUGGUUGAAAAGCCAAAGGCAUAAAGCUACCAUGUGCUGGAUUACAACCAAAUGCCUUCAAGUCAAAAUCUAGGCUAAAAGUGAUGCAUGUGCUUGUCACCCAAAUGUUGACCCAUAGUAAGGGCCAAUGCCCCCAAAGACAUGUGUCUUAGGUGUAGCCCUCAUGGUGAACAAGCCACACGAGCCUUCUUGGAGCUCAAUUCCCAUUGAGUACAGGUAGAAUC
rnacentral:rRNA from 1 species